rnacentral:tRNA from 1 species
UCUGUUAGAAGUUAGAAGCUUCUUAUAUUAUUUCUUU